UACAGAGGGUGCAAGCGUUGUUCGGAAUUAUUGGGCGUAAAGCGCGUGUAGGCGGGAUGGUGUGUCGGGGGUGAAAGCCCUCAGCUCAACUGAGGAAGUGCGCCCGAAACUGCCGUUCUUGAGUGUCGGAGAGGGUGACGGAAUUCCCGGUGUAGAGGUGAAAUUCGUAGAUAUCGGGAGGAACACCAGUGGCGAAGGCGGUCACCUGGACGAACACUGACGCUGAGGUGCGAAAGCGUGGGGAGCAAACAGG
rnacentral:rRNA from 1 species